rnacentral:tRNA from 1 species
AGCCCCGUAGUGUAGCGGCCAAUCAUUUCGGACUUUGGAUCCGAAGACUCCGGUUCAAAUCCGGACGGGGCUA